rnacentral:lncRNA from 1 species
UCUUCUUUUGAAUCUGUGUGUCUGAGCUGGGGAUUUACACCCACGGUGCGUCUGUUUGUUACCUUCUUCAGGCUAGUCAAGGCGAGCCAAAAGUUUUACUACUUUGCCCCUCGCGGAGGGCUGUCAAAUUUUUCGGGCUAUAAGGACUCCAUCAAGGGCUGGGUAGAGGGUUUUGUUGUGGUGGAAUUGAAGAAAGAGACUGGGUUGGCUUGGGAGAUAGGACUCGACUGGGAGGAUGUCUCGUUGGGUUGUAACGACCUGCCCCAGUUGAGCCUUACCGAGCAGGUCGGGUUUGUUCGACUGACUUCUGUCGAAAAGAAGUAUGACGUCGAAAAG